CCAAUAGCGUAUAUUAAAGUUGUUGCAGUUAAAAAGCUCGUAGUUGAAUUUCGGGAUCAAUUUAUUGGUCGUGCUAUUGUACGUACUGGUAUUAUUGAUUCCUACCUUCUGACGAACCACGAUGCCAUUAAUUUGGUGUCAUGGGGAAUCAGGACUGUUACUUUGAAAAAAUUAGAGUGUUUAAAGCAGGCUCACGCUUG
rnacentral:rRNA from 1 species